rnacentral:tRNA from 1 species
GUCCCCGUAGCUCAGCGGAUAGAGCGUCGGCCUCCGGAGCCGAAAGCGUGGGUUCGAUUCCCACCGGGGACA